rnacentral:rRNA from 1 species
AGAGUUUGAUCAUGGCUCAGGACGAACGCUGGCGGCGUGCUUAACACAUGUAAGUCGAGCGGUAAGGCCCUUCGGGGUACACGAGCGGCGAACGGGUGAGUAACACGUGAGCAACCUGCCCCUGACUCCGGGAUAAGCGGUGGAAACGCCGUCUAAUACCGGAUACGACCCUCCUCCGCAUGGUGGGGGGUGGAAAGUUUUUUCGGUCGGGGAUGGGCUCGCGGCCUAUCAGCUUGUUGGUGGGGUAACGGCCUACCAAGGCGAUUACGGGUAGCCGGCCUGAGAGGGCGACCGGCCACACUGGGACUGAGACACGGCCCAGACUCCUGCGGGAGGCAGCAGUGGGGAAUAUUGCGCAAUGGGCGAAAGCCUGACGCAGCGACGCCGCGUGGGGGAUGACGGCCUUCGGGUUGUAAACCUCUUUUACCACUCACGCAGGCCCCGCGUUCUCGCGGGGUUGACGGUAGGUGGGGAAUAAGGACCGGCUAACUACGUGCCAGCAGCCGCGGUAAUACGUAGGGUCCGAGCGUUGUCCGGAAUUAUUGGGCGUAAAGAGCUCGUAGGCGGCGUGUCGCGUCUGCUGUGAAAGACCGGGGCUUAACCCCGGUUCUGCAGUGGAUACGGGCAUGCUAGAGGUAGGUAGGGGAGACUGGAAUUCCUGGUGUAGCGGUGAAAUGCGCAGAUAUCAGGAGGAACACCGGUGGCGAAGGCGGGUCUCUGGGCCUUACCUGACGC